ACUUCCUUUUGAAGAGGCUCUGGAAAAGGAAAUAUUAAACAGUGCUUUGUAUGAGACGGAAAGAAGAGCAGAAAAUGUGAGCAACUUUUCUACUGAACCCUGUACACACAUAAGCACACAGCUCUGUGUGUACACAUAAUCUGGUUAUUUACUUUUUUGAAUUGCUUUUGAGGAAUGAGAAAACUCUUCAGGGCCUGGGGCAUGCACAAACUCCAUGGAUUUCAGGUAAUUAUCAGUGAUGAAACUGCUGAACAGCAGUUCAGAACAUCCACCUGGACUGCCUUCUAAAACAGAGGCUUUGGAAGUAUUUUUACUGAAAACAUUUUUUCACUUUAUUCCUUAAACCAGCCUGACCAAGUGAGGUCUCAGCCUUGACAGGCUCACUGCCUUGUUUGUGUGUACCAGCUCUUACUGGUUGUGUGGGGAUUGAUGUCUUUAAUGGAUGUGUCAUGACCUGGUCACUGUUUGCUGUCCAUUCACAGCUCAGCUCUGAAGUUAAUGCAAACACAAUGCAUGGAGCAUUGCCCAGUGCUGUGCAUAUGGAUACACUGCUCAUGUUUUACUCAAAACUAAGAGACACUCUGAUAAGUCUGAUCCUGGAUUGCAUGGUACUUUAAUAAGAAGAGGUUGUGAGCAACUCAUAAAAUCAAAGCCCCAUACUCUAAAAAUCUCACAAUUUUGAUCCAAAGCAGUUGGUUUUGUUUCAUGCUCUGUUCAGGCAUGAAAUCCCACUCAGCAACAAAUGCCUACAUGUAUUUUUGCUUUCCACAUGCUGCUCUGGUCCUGAUCUCUGAAUUUCCCAGGAGAAAACCCAACCAAACCUGCUUCAGAUAGCUACGCUGUAGCUGUGGCUAUUUACUUCUUUUUUUCUUUUUAAAUAGCAGACUUUGCAUUUGUUCCCAUCUCUACCUUCUUUCUUGUUCACAUAUUUUUAGUUUUCACACAGUUUAACCCCCACCAUGUCAGAGCUGGGAACUCUCAUGCUGCUGUGUACCUGGGAACCUGUACGUGAUGUCAUCAGAGUGAUGUCAGUGAAGCUGUUGGGGUGAUUAUGCCAUGUCUGUUCGUCAGGAAGCAGGGCAGAACACUGGGUCAGUCAAGUGCUAGGCCUAAACUUCACAGCUGCAUAAUUCAGUAAUGUGCUGUCUGUUCGCUGGAAGCAGGGUGACAAGACUCAAGGAAGGGAAAACGCAACUGUCAGGUGGAAUUUCUGAAGAUGAAUAUUUUAGUUGGAAGGAGGUAGGAAUAUACACAAGAACAUCACAGUGAGGCUGAGUGGGAACCUUUGCCAGAAGAAUUCUGCUCUACAAUGGAUGGAUAAUCCAAACCAUGAAAUGGCUCUAGAAGGUUGAAGUUGCAGUAUCAAACCACAGCCUGCUACACCACCCUGAAAACAGCCUGACCUUUAGCAGAGGGUGAGCUCAGAGAGAUGAGAGUUUGCAGCGUCCAGCACUGACAUGUGUUAAUGCAUGUCCUGCUCAUCUUUCAAAGCAACCUAAACAGUUGUGGCUGGUGGGCUGAGCACAUGAGGGCUGCUGAGGGAAGGACUCUUCCUAGUGAGGCUGUAGGAGGGAACUAAGUUUGCAUCCAUAAAUCUCAGGAAGCAGCCUCUCCUGAAUACUCACCAGAUCCUAUAAGAGCACAGAUCAGCACCAUGGAAUUGUAUUUUAUUU